GACGAACGCUGGCGGCGUGCCUAAUACAUGCAAGUAGAACGCUGAAGCGAGGAGCUUGCUCUUCUUGGAUGAGUUGCGAACGGGUGAGUAACGCGUAGGUAACCUGCCUUGUAGCGGGGGAUAACUAUUGGAAACGAUAGCUAAUACCGCAUAACAAUGGAUGACACAUGUCAUUUAUUUGAAAGGGGCAAUUGCUCCACUACAAGAUGGACCUGCGUUGUAUUAGCUAGUAGGUGAGGUAAUGGCUCACCUAGGCGACGGUACAUAGCCGACCUGAGAGGGUGAUCGGCCACACUGGGACUGAGACACGGCCCAAACUCCUAAGGGAGGCAGCAGUAGGGAAUCUUCGGCAAUGGGGGCAAACCUGACCGAGCAACGCCGCGUGAGUGAAGAAGGUUUUCGGAUCGUGAGCUCGGUUGUAAGUGAAGAACGGGUGUGAGAGUGGAAAGUUCACACUGUGACGGUAGCUUACCAGAAAGGGACGGCUAACUACGUG
rnacentral:rRNA from 1 species